GACGAACGCUGGCGGCGUGCUUAACACAUGCAAGUCGAACGUGAUUUUUGUGGAAAUUCUUUCGGGAAUGGAAAUGAAAUGAAAGUGGCGAACGGGUGAGUAACACGUGAGCAACCUACCUUACACAGGGGGAUAGCCGUUGGAAACGACGAUUAAUACCGCAUGAGACCACAGAAUCGCAUGAUAUAGGGGUCAAAGAUUUAUCGGUGUAAGAAGGGCUCGCGUCUGAUUAGCUAGUUGGAAGGGUAAAGGCCUACCAAGGCGACGAUCAGUAGCCGGUCUGAGAGGAUGAACGGCCACAUUGGAACUGAGACACGGUCCAAACUCCUACGGGAGGCAGCAGUGGGGAAUAUUGCACAAUGGGGGGAACCCUGAUGCAGCGACGCCGCGUGAGCGAAGAAGGUUUUCGAAUCGUAAAGCUCUGUCCUAUGAGAAGAUAAUGACGGUGUCAUAGGAGGAAGCCCCGGCUAAAUACGUG
rnacentral:rRNA from 1 species